rnacentral:rRNA from 1 species
UACGAAGGGGGCUAGCGUUGUUCGGAUUUACUGGGCGUAAAGCGCACGUAGGCGGAUCGAUCAGUCAGGGGUGAAAUCCCAGGGCUCAACCCUGGAACUGCCUUUGAUACUGUCGAUCUGGAGUAUGGAAGAGGUGAGUGGAAUUCCGAGUGUAGAGGUGAAAUUCGUAGAUAUUCGGAAGAACACCAGUGGCGAAGGCGGCUCACUGGACUGGUAUUGACGCUGAGGUGCGAAAGCGUGGGGAGCAAACAGGG